GAGGCUCAGUGGUAGGGCACUACUUGGAAUGCAGAAGGUCCCAGGUUCAAUCCCGGCCAUCUCCA
rnacentral:tRNA from 1 species